CCCUUAGAUGUUCUGGGCCGCACGCGCGCUACACUGAUACGGUCAACAAGUUUGAUUCUACCUUAGCCGACAGGCUUGGGAAACCUUGUGAAACCGUAUCGUGUUGGGGCUUGACGAUUGUAAUUUUUUGUCACAAACGAGGAAUUCCUAGUAAGCGCAAGUCAUCAACUUGCAUUGAUUACGUCCCUGCCCUUUGUACACACCGCCCGUCGCUCCUACCGAUUGAAUGUUCCGGUGAAUUCUUCGGAGCCGAGACUCUGGUUGGGGAGACUCAACCUUUGUCACUGGUGAAGUUGCGUAAACCUUAACAUUUAGAGGAAGGAGAAGUCGUAACA
rnacentral:rRNA from 1 species